ACUACGGGUGGCAGCAGUGAGGAAUAUUGGUCAAUGGGCGGAAGCCUGAACCAGCCAAGUAGCGUGCAGGAUGACGGCCCUACGGGUUGUAAACUGCUUUUAUACGGGAAUAACGCGCCUUACGUGUAGGGCUUUGCAUGUACCGUAUGAAUAAGGACCGGCUACUUCCGUGACCGCAGCCCCGGUACUAGGGAAGGUCCGUGCGUGAUCCGGAUGUAUUGGGUUACAAGGGUGCGCAGGCGGAGGUGCAAGUCAGGGGUCCAAUUGCGGGGCUCCACCCCGUACUGCCGUUGAAACUGCAUCCCUUGAGUGCGCGAGAAGUAUGCGGAAUGCGUGGUGUAGCGGUGAAAUGCAUAGAUAUCACGCAGAACUCCGAUUGCGAAGGCAGCAUACCGGCGCGCAACUGACGCUCAUGCACGAAAGCGUGGGUAUCGAACAGGAUUAGAUACCCCAGUAGUC
rnacentral:rRNA from 1 species